UAACCGUUUGAACAAUUUUCUGUUUCUCAAAAUGAGUACUUAACAAAAAUUCUGGGAACAAUUCUUUCAUUUAUAAAUUAACAAGAAACGUGACGACAACAUUGAAAUUAGUUUUUUGUCAAUAUUAAGGCAAAUAAUAAAAUUAAACAAAAUGGAAAUUUUAAUUAAAAACCUAAACGUGUGAGCUACAUUUUGAAUUCGGCGGUGAAAUUUGAAAAUGCAUUGGAAAAUUUCUUAGAAAUUGGGAAAACCAUGUGGAAAUUUAUAACUUUGAGUGUGUAAACUCUGAGGAGAUAAACAAUCUGGAAAAAUGCUGUUUACGAUGUAAAGGGAAAUGAGUCCUGUUGUUCUAGAAUCGUGUAAUCAUAAGGAACUCUGAAACAAUUUGGAAAAAUGCCUGUAAAGUUUGCAAAAUAUCCGAUUGAAAGUGAUUUCUCCAAGAAUCGUGUAACCAUGAGAGCUACUUGGCAGACAUGUUUCAAUUCCAAAAUUAAAUAAAAAAUGGUUGCUAAACACGCUGUUUUAUUACCACAAUGUUUCAAAGAUGCCAGAUCAUGUGUGCAUAGCAUUAGGUAGUUUACCCUUUGGUGUGAUUGAAUGGUAUUGCAGUAAAAUCUUUGAAACAAGAAAUUCCUAAUUAUAUAUGUGAUAUUUUGUGGAUUCAAAAAGAUUUAAUAAAAAACACGUUUUCAUUAAAAA